rfam:Felis catus isolate Cinnamon breed Abyssinian chromosome F1, whole genome shotgun sequence.
ACCUGGGUGGCUCAGUGGGUUAAGCAUCUGACUUCGGCUCAGGUCAUGAUCUCUCAGUUUGUGAGUUCAAGCCCCAUGUCAGGUU